rnacentral:rRNA from 1 species
CUACGGGUUGCUCCAGUGGGGAAUAUUGCACAAUGGGGGAAACCCUGAUGCAGCGACGCCGCGUGAGUGAAGAAGUAUUUCGGUAUGUAAAGCUCUAUCAGCAGGGAAGAAAAUGACGGUACCUGACUAAGAAGCCCCGGCUAACUACGUGCCAGCAGCCGCGGUAAUACGUAGGGGGCAAGCGUUAUCCGGAUUUACUGGGUGUAAAGGGAGCGUAGGCGGCACGACAAGCCAGAAGUGAAAGCCCGGGGCUCAACUCCGGGACUGCUUUUGGAACUGCCGAGCUAGAUUGCAGGAGAGGUAAGUGGAAUUCCUAGUGUAGCGGUGAAAUGCGUAGAUAUUAGGAGGAACACCAGUGGCGAAGGCGGCUUACUGGACUGUAAAUGACGCUGAGGCUCGAAAGCGUGGGGAGCAAACAGGAUUAGAUACCCCCGUAGUC